GGUUAAGCGACUAAGCGUACACGGUGGAUGCCCUGGCAGUCAGAGGCGAUGAAGGACGUGCUAAUCUGCGAUAAGCGUCGGUAAGGUGAUAUGAACCGUUAUAACCGGCGAUUUCCGAAUGGGGAAACCCAGUGUGUUUCGACACACUAUCAUUAACUGAAUCCAUAGGUUAAUGAGGCGAACCGGGGGAACUGAAACAUCUAAGUACCCCGAGGAAAAGAAAUCAACCGAGAUUCCCCCAGUAGCGGCGAGCGAACGGGGAGGAGCCCAGAGCCUGAAUCAGUGUGUGUGUUAGUGGAAGCGUCUGGAAAGGCGCGCGAUACAGGGUGACAGCCCCGUACACAAAAAUGCACAUAUUGUGAGCUCGAUGAGUAGGGCGGGACACGUGGUAUCCUGUCUGAAUAUGGGGGGACCAUCCUCCAAGGCUAAAUACUCCUGACUGACCGAUAGUGAACCAGUACCGUGAGGGAAAGGCGAAAAGAACCCCGGCGAGGGGAGUGAAAAAGAACCUGAAACCGUGUACGUACAAGCAGUGGGAGCCUCUUUUAUGGGGUGACUGCGUACCUUUUGUAUAAUGGGUCAGCGACUUAUAUUCUGUAGCAAGGUUAACCGAAUAGGGGAGCCGAAGGGAAACCGAGUCUUAACUGGGCGUUAAGUUGCAGGGUAUAGACCCGAAACCCGGUGAUCUAGCCAUGGGCAGGUUGAAGGUUGGGUAACACUAACUGGAGGACCGAACCGACUAAUGUUGAAAAAUUAGCGGAUGACUUGUGGCUGGGGGUGAAAGGCCAAUCAAACCGGGAGAUAGCUGGUUCUCCCCGAAAGCUAUUUAGGUAGCGCCUCGUGAAUUCAUCUCCGGGGGUAGAGCACUGUUUCGGCAAGGGGGUCAUCCCGACUUACCAACCCGAUGCAAACUGCGAAUACCGGAGAAUGUUAUCACGGGAGACACACGGCGGGUGCUAACGUCCGUCGUGAAGAGGGAAACAACCCAGACCGCCAGCUAAGGUCCCAAAGUCAUGGUUAAGUGGGAAACGAUGUGGGAAGGCCCAGACAGCCAGGAUGUUGGCUUAGAAGCAGCCAUCAUUUAAAGAAAGCGUAAUAGCUCACUGGUCGAGUCGGCCUGCGCGGAAGAUGUAACGGGGCUAAACCAUGCACCGAAGCUGCGGCAGCGACGCUGAUGCGUUGUUGGGUAGGGGAGCGUUCUGUAAGCCUGUGAAGGUGUGCUGUGAGGCAUGCUGGAGGUAUCAGAAGUGCGAAUGCUGACAUAAGUAACGAUAAAGCGGGUGAAAAGCCCGCUCGCCGGAAGACCAAGGGUUCCUGUCCAACGUUAAUCGGGGCAGGGUGAGUCGACCCCUAAGGCGAGGCCGAAAGGCGUAGUCGAUGGGAAACAGGUUAAUAUUCCUGUACUUGGUGUUACUGCGAAGGGGGGACGGAGAAGGCUAUGUUGGCCGGGCGACGGUUGUCCCGGUUUAAGCGUGUAGGCUGGUUUUCCAGGCAAAUCCGGAAAAUCAAGGCUGAGGCGUGAUGACGAGGCACUACGGUGCUGAAGCAACAAAUGCCCUGCUUCCAGGAAAAGCCUCUAAGCAUCAGGUAACAUCAAAUCGUACCCCAAACCGACACAGGUGGUCAGGUAGAGAAUACCAAGGCGCUUGAGAGAACUCGGGUGAAGGAACUAGGCAAAAUGGUGCCGUAACUUCGGGAGAAGGCACGCUGAUAUGUAGGUGAAGUCCCUCGCGGAUGGAGCUGAAAUCAGUCGAAGAUACCAGCUGGCUGCAACUGUUUAUUAAAAACACAGCACUGUGCAAACACGAAAGUGGACGUAUACGGUGUGACGCCUGCCCGGUGCCGGAAGGUUAAUUGAUGGGGUCAGCGCAAGCGAAGCUCUUGAUCGAAGCCCCGGUAAACGGCGGCCGUAACUAUAACGGUCCUAAGGUAGCGAAAUUCCUUGUCGGGUAAGUUCCGACCUGCACGAAUGGCGUAAUGAUGGCCAGGCUGUCUCCACCCGAGACUCAGUGAAAUUGAACUCGCUGUGAAGAUGCAGUGUACCCGCGGCAAGACGGAAAGACCCCGUGAACCUUUACUAUAGCUUGACACUGAACAUUGAGCCUUGAUGUGUAGGAUAGGUGGGAGGCUUAGAAGUGUGGACGCCAGUCUGCAUGGAGCCGACCUUGAAAUACCACCCUUUAAUGUUUGAUGUUCUAACGUUGACCCGUAAUCCGGGUUGCGGACAGUGUCUGGUGGGUAGUUUGACUGGGGCGGUCUCCUCCUAAAGAGUAACGGAGGAGCACGAAGGUUGGCUAAUCCUGGUCGGACAUCAGGAGGUUAGUGCAAUGGCAUAAGCCAGCUUGACUGCGAGCGUGACGGCGCGAGCAGGUGCGAAAGCAGGUCAUAGUGAUCCGGUGGUUCUGAAUGGAAGGGCCAUCGCUCAACGGAUAAAAGGUACUCCGGGGAUAACAGGCUGAUACCGCCCAAGAGUUCAUAUCGACGGCGGUGUUUGGCACCUCGAUGUCGGCUCAUCACAUCCUGGGGCUGAAGUAGGUCCCAAGGGUAUGGCUGUUCGCCAUUUAAAGUGGUACGCGAGCUGGGUUUAGAACGUCGUGAGACAGUUCGGUCCCUAUCUGCCGUGGGCGCUGGAGAACUGAGGGGGGCUGCUCCUAGUACGAGAGGACCGGAGUGGACGCAUCACUGGUGUUCGGGUUGUCAUGCCAAUGGCACUGCCCGGUAGCUAAAUGCGGAAGAGAUAAGUGCUGAAAGCAUCUAAGCACGAAACUUGCCCCGAGAUGAGUUCUCCCUGACCCUUUAAGGGUCCUGAAGGAACGUUGAAGACGACGACGUUGAUAGGCCGGGUGUGUAAGCGCAGCGAUGCGUUGAGCUAACCGGUACUAAUGAACCGUGAGGCUUAACCUU
rnacentral:rRNA from 1 species